UACGUAGGGGGCAAGCGUUGUCCGGAUUUAUUGGGCGUAAAGCGUCCGCAGGUGGCUGUGUAAGUCUGCUGUUAAAGAGUGAGGCUCAACCUCAUAAAGGCAGUGGAAACUACAUGGCUAGAGUGCGUUCGGGGCAGAGGGAAUUCCUGGUGUAGCGGUGAAAUGCGUAGAGAUCAGGAAGAACACCGGUGGCGAAAGCGCUCUGCUGGGCCGACACUGACACUGAGAGACGAAAGCUAGGGGAGCGAAUGGG
rnacentral:rRNA from 1 species